AGAGUUUGAUCCUGGCUCAGGACGAACGCUGGCGGCGUGCUUAACACAUGCAAGUCGAACGAUGAAGCCCUUCGGGGUGGAUUAGUGGCGAACGGGUGAGUAACACGUGGGCAAUCUGCCCUUCACUCUGGGACAAGCCCUGGAAACGGGGUCUAAUACCGGAUAUCACUCCUGCCUGCAUGGGCGGGGGUCGAAAGCUCCGGCGGUGAAGGAUGAGCCCGCGGCCUAUCAGCUUGUUGGUGAGGUAAUGGCUCACCAAGGCGACGACGGGUAGCCGGCCUGAGAGGGCGACCGGCCACACUGGGACUGAGACACGGCCCAGACUCCUACGGGAGGCAGCAGUGGGGAAUAUUGCACAAUGGGCGGAAGCCUGAUGCAGCGACGCCGCGUGAGGGAUGACGGCCUUCGGGUUGUAAACCUCUUUCAGCAGGGAAGAAGCGAAAGUGACGGUACCUGCAGAAGAAGCGCCGGCUAACUACGUGCCAGCAGCCGCGGUAAUACGUAGGGCGCAAGCGUUGUCCGGAAUUAUUGGGCGUAAAGAGCUCGUAGGCGGCUUGUCGCGUCGGAUGUGAAAGCCCGGGGCUUAACCCCGGGUCUGCAUUCGAUACGGGCAGGCUAGAGUUCGGUAGGGGAGAUCGGAAUUCCUGGUGUAGCGGUGAAAUGCGCAGAUAUCAGGAGGAACACCGGUGGCGAAGGCGGAUCUCUGGGCCGAUACUGACGCUGAGGAGCGAAAGCGUGGGGAGCGAACAGGAUUAGAUACCCUGGUAGUCCACGCCGUAAACGGUGGGAACUAGGUGUUGGCGACAUUCCACGUCG
rnacentral:rRNA from 1 species